rnacentral:rRNA from 1 species
GUCCUAGCCCUAAACGAUGCUCAUUAGAUGUGGGAGGUAUCGACCCCUUCCGCGUCGCAACUAACGCAUUAAAUGAGCCGCCUGGGGAGUACGGCCGCAAGGUUGAAACUCAAAGGAAUUGACGGGGCCCGCACAAGCGGUGGAACAUGUGGUUUAAUUCGACGCAACGCGAAGAACCUUACCUGGGCUUGAACUACUCGUGGUAGCCCGCUGGAAACAGUGGGCGACCCGCAAGGGAGCGAGCAGAGGUGCUGCAUGGUUGUCGU